GUGUGGUUGUUUGCUGGCCCCUUUCGGGGGCAUGUGCACACCCAUCAUCCUCAUCUCUCCACCUGUGCACCUCUUGUAGACUUGGAUUGACUUUCCGAGGCAACUCGGUCGGGAGGACUUGCUGGCACUAGCUGGCUUUCCUUGCAUUUCCAAGUCUAUGUUUUUUCAUAUACCCCAUUGAAUGUAACAGAAUGUAACAUAUUGGGCCUUUGUGCCUAUAAAAACGUAUACAACUUUCAGCAACGGAUCUCUUGGCUCUCGCAUCGAUGAAGAACGCAGCGAAAUGCGAUAAGUAAUGUGAAUUGCAGAAUUCAGUGAAUCAUCGAAUCUUUGAACGCACCUUGCGCUCCUUGGUAUUCCGAGGAGCAUGCCUGUUUGAGUGUCAUUAAAUUCUCAACUAUCAUCAGCUUUUGCUGAUGAUGGCUUGGAUAUGGGGGUUUAUUUUGCUGGCUUC
rnacentral:misc_RNA from 1 species